rnacentral:rRNA from 2 species
AAUAAGCGGAGGAAAAGAAACCAACCGGGAUUCCCUUAGUAACGGCGAGCGAAAAGGGAUGAGCCCAGAAUGUAAAUCUCCAGCUUGCUGGCGAAUUGUAGUCUGAAGUAGCAACUCCUGGAGCCAUGCCCGCCAAAGCAUCUUGGAAUCGAUCGCCUUAGAGGGUGAGAGCCCCGUAGGCAGGCUUUGGCUCCUUCACGGAGUGCUCACGCAGAGUCGGGUUGUUUGGGAAUGCAGCCCCAAUUGGGUGGUAAACCCCAUCUAAGGCUAAAUACCGGUGGGAGACCGAUAGCAAAAAAGUACCUCGAGGGAACGAUGAAAAGACCGCUGGCAAGCGAGUGAAAGAGUGCAUGAAAUUGUAUAGUGGGAAGGGAUGGCCUGGCGUUUUGCCCUCGGGUAUAACUGGCUCUUUGAGCCACUGAAUACAUCGUGGGUUGGUUGGUGCCGAUACUUGGGCUUGCAAAUCCCUAAACUAAGGUGUUUAGCUCUACAAGCCCGAGUGUUGAGGACGAUCGUUGCUCUGUUUUAAACUGCAUCGACAUAGCACCAACUUAAGCUUGUCCAUCUA